rnacentral:rRNA from 1 species
UACGUAGGGGGCAAGCGUUGUCCGGAAUCAUUGGGCGUAAAGAGCGUGUAGGCGGCUUGGCAAGUCUGGUGUGAAAUCUUGCGGCUCAACCGCAAGCGGUCACUGGAAACUGCCUCGCUAGAGUCCGGAAGAGGAGAGCGGAAUUCCUGGAUGUAGCGGUGGAAUGCGCAGAUAUCAGGAGGAACACCAAUGGCGAAGGCAGCUCGCUGGAACGGUACUGACGCUGGAGGCGACGAAAGCGUGGGGAGCGAACAGG